rnacentral:ncRNA from 18 species
UGCAUACCGGACGUGCAAGGUUCCUCGUUUGGGCGCAAAGCGCCUCGGGGAUGAAAUGGGAAUGACGUGCCGGUGGACCCAAUUAGGGCGCCUAUGCGUCAGCCGCCCCCGCGACUGUAAGCGGCGAGCCCCUGCCAGAUGCCACUGAGGUGCCUAUGACCUUGGGAAGGCGGCAGACAGGCGACGACCCGCGAGCCAGGAGACCAGCCCUGCGUUCGUCAAUCCCG